rnacentral:rRNA from 1 species
AACGAACGCUGGCGGCGUGCUUAACACAUGCAAGUCGAACGGUGAAAGCGGAGCUUGCUCCGCUGGAUCAGUGGCGAACGGGUGAGUAACACGUGGGCAACCUGCCCCUCACUUCGGGAUAACUCCGGGAAACCGGGGCUAAUACCGGAUAUGACCUCCUUGGGCAUCCUUGGAGGUGGAAAGUUUUUCGGUGAGGGAUGGGCCCGCGGCCUAUCAGCUUGUUGGUGAGGUAGUGGCUCACCAAGGCGACGACGGGUAGCCGGCCUGAGAGGGCGACCGGCCACACUGGGACUGAGACACGGCCCAGACUCCUACGGGAGGCAGCAGUGGGGAAUAUUGCGCAAUGGGCGAAAGCCUGACGCAGCAACGCCGCGGGCGGGAUGACGGCCUUCGGGUUGUAAACCGCUUUCAGCAGGGAAGAAGCCGCAAGGUGACGGUGCCUGCAGAAGAAGCACCGGCUAACUACGUGCCAGCCGCCGCAGUAC